rnacentral:rRNA from 1 species
UACGUAGGGGGCGAGCGUUGUCCGGAGUUACUGGGCGUAAAGGGCUUGCAGGCGGUCUGGCGCGUUUUGUGUGACAGCGGGGGGCUCAACUCCCCGAGCAUGCGAAAGACGGUUGGACUUGAGGGCUCGAGAGGGACACGGAAUUCCGGGUGGAGUGGUGAAAUGCGUAGAGAUCCGGAGGAACACCGAAGGCGAAGGCAGUGUCCUGGCGAGUGACUGACGCUGAGGUGCGAAAGCCAGGGGAGCGAACGGG